AGGCCCAAGAAAGGAGAUGAGACAGUUAGUGGAGGAGGAUGGGCUCAGCCAGGCCUAGACUGAGAAGGAUGUGUUCACCUUGACAGGGCCCUGUGCUAAUCACGAGUCUUUCCUGUUCAGAGCAGUGAGGCCUGAGACCCUCAACAGUGCUGCCAGAAGGCCUGCCAGAAGGCCCCAGAAUCCACACAAAGGGGCCGCCUGAAACCUAGAGCAUUUGUGAAGAAGGAAAACAUAAGGUAAUGCUUACUCAGUGCGCUGGUUCUUCAACGUGGCUGCAUCCAGGGAGCACCUGGGAACUCUCAGAAAUACUCAUGCCUGGGCCCCGCCUCGGGAGACAAUGGCCUAAUUGGUUUGGGGUGUGUUUGAGCGCUGGGAGCUGCCAAAGCUCCCACCAGGUGAUCCUCAGAUGCAGCCGAAGCCAGACCCUCCGGGCUGUCCUCAGGGGACUUUUCCCACGGGACAGCUGCCGGGGUUGUCCUCCGUGAGACCCCAGGGCUAACCAGAUGUCACUAGGACAUUUUCAUUCUGUCCUGGAAGAACAUUCGAAAUGUGAGGUUUCCCUAUAGUGAAACUGUGGUGGUAUUUUGAAUUGUGUUUUAAAAGUUUAAAUGGUGACGUUGCUUUAUUCUAAAUAACAUGUAUUGUUUUGUAAUUAUAAAAGUGUGUUCAUUUAAAAUAUACAGGAAAGUCUAUAGAAGAAAAUAAAAGGCUUUUUUUUUUCUUUUUUUAAGUAUUUUAGGUUGGUAUCACCAUUUAGGUUGGGUAGAAGUAAUUCUUAAAUCUCGAGAAGCAAUCAUAGAUAGGUGGAAGCCGAUAGUCAUUACUAGGGAUCAUGAUUAGGAAAAACAGCCUCUCUCCAAUGAUCCUGAAUGAGCCCGUUGAAUUCGUCUCCUGCAACUGAUCUCCCCGUGGGGAGUGCUAGGGGAGUGGUGAGGGAUGGGUGACAGGAGGGGACCCUAACCCAAUGUAGUUCGGAGCAGGUGAGUUUUAGGAGCAUUUCAGUACCAAACACAGCUUCACGACUGAGAAUCAGCAGUCAUCCCCAGCUUUGUUUCAUUUGCUAACCUCUCUAGGAACAACUGGAUGUUGUAAAUGUUUCUUAUCUGGCCUGAAAAUCCACGAAAGCUGGAAAAUCCCAAGGCAUCUGUGCACAUACUGGUGGAUUUUAAUGAGAGUCCUGUGCUUGGAGUACCAGAAAUAAACCAGCUUCAGAAGUAAAGUAAGAAAAGGCCCUUGAUUAUGACACUGGCCACGGGUAUUACUAUAUGUAGGUGGUAAGUGGACGUUUCUGGGACAUCUGUCCUGCAAACUUUCUUUCCACCCUAAGCUGACUUUUGAAAUUGUGCGUGACUGAAAAACUUCUAAGGGGAGAGGUGGUUGGGCCCUCCAGGGGUCCUGUGUUUCUCCUAGGGGGACAAUCUCUCCCUAAUUCCAUGUGGUCCUGGUGGUGCUCUCCACCAUGCUGCCAUCCUCACUCCCGGGGGGACCAGGGGACAAGGAACCCAGUGGGGCCGGGCCAAUGAGAGUCCCCCGAUCACAAUCCCUGGUUCAAAGAUGGCCAUGUGCCUGAGCAGCUUUGAAACCACAGAGAUGUCAUUUCCUCCCGAGAAUGAAGUUAACAGGAGGAGGAAGCAGAGCUAGAGAUGGAACCAGACCCAGCCAGCCCAGGCUCCAGUGACAUCAGCCGGAUCUGAAUAUCUAUGACACUCUUUUGAGCUGACACAGUGAAGAACAUGGAAGGAGAACUCACCCAGUCUGCCAGGGUCACAGAUGAUCAUACUCAAGAUCUUCCUGGGGAGUCAAUGGCAAAUUUCACUGGGCUAUUUUACAGAUGAAGAAGGAGCAUAAAGAAGGUUCUAGGACCUUGAAGUCCAUGGAACACCCACUAUUGCCUGAUCUCUGGAGCUUGUCAUUUGGCCAAUGGACCCUAAUAAACAUGUCCACCAGGAUGUGGGGACAGAAUGCCGGAGCCUGGCUCACCUGGGCAGCCAGGUUCUUCCUCUUUGCCCUGCUGUCUCCAGGCACCAAGAAUUUCCUCCAGUUCCCCAAAGAUGAACCCCCCAUUAUCUCAGGUCACUGUUUCCCCUGAUCUUUGCCAAAUUCCUGACUCAGAGUUCCUCCCAUUUGCUUCUGACUCUCAUUUUAUUCUUACAAUGUUUACCAUUUCUGUUCUUCUCAGUGUCCCUCUCUGAGUGGUAAGAAUAUGUUAAUAAGCCAGUGCUGUGACCAGAGCACAAGGCAAUUGCUCAUGUUGGUCACUGUCACUGUUAUUAAAUGUAACUUAAAGGAA